rnacentral:lncRNA from 1 species
AGUUAUAAUCUUCUUCUUAGCCUUAACCUUGCCUUCAUACAGGGAACUCUUCAACUCUUGUUUCAUCUGCAUCUGGCUUCCAUUUCAUCUGCGGUUUCUGGGCACUACCAGUCCUUCAUGUUGUUCAUCAAGCAUGUCUACACCUUCCUGAUCCUGGCUGCUCACACUGUCUCCACAGUCUGAUUCCAAGAAUUAGCCUGAGAUGCCAAGAAAGAUGGUGAGGAAGAACGACAGCCAUCUCUUUGGCAGAAGAAAAAGUUAGAGGGCAAGCAGCUGUGCUGUACGGAAGGAACACAAGCUGGGUGUCGGCUCUUGGGUUCAGUUCCUGAGGCUGUCACUUCCGAUGCUGAGGUACUAGGCAAGUUACUUAGCCUCUUUUAAAAACAAUUAUUUAUAAAUAGAUAUAUGUAAAAUAAGGAUUAUGAUAUCUCACGUGAUGUGAUUGUGAAUAUGUAUCUCAUAUACAGUUUUUAUUAUGAAUACAUAGGUAGAUUGACAUUAUUCAGUGAACAAACUGUACAUAGAUGAAUACUUACACAUACUUGUAUUUAUCUGUCUAUUUGUA